rnacentral:rRNA from 1 species
AGCGAACGCUGGCGGCAGGCCUAACACAUGCAAGUCGAGCGCCCCGCAAGGGGAGCGGCAGACGGGAGAGUAACGCGUGGGAACGUGCCCUUUGGUUCGGAACAACCCAGGGAAACUUGGGCUAAUACCGGAUAAGCCCUCACGGGGAAAGAUUUAUCGCCGAAGGAUCGGCCCGCGUCUGAUUAGCUAGUUGGGGGGGGUAAUGGCCCACCAAGGCGACGAUCAGUAGCUGGUCUGAGAGGAUGAUCAGCCUCACUGGGACUGAGACACGGCCCAGACUCCUACGGGAGGCAGCAGUGGGGAAUAUUGGACAAUGGGCGCAAGCCUGAUCCAGCCAUGCCGCGUGGGUGAUGAAGGCCCUAGGGUUGUAAAGCCCUUUCGGCGGGGAAGAUAAUGACGGUACCCGCAGAAGAAGCCCCGGCUAACUUCGUGCCAGCCGCCGCGGUAA